rnacentral:SRP_RNA from 1 species
GCUGGGCGUGGUGGCGGGCACCUGUAGUCCCAGCUACUCGGGAGGCUGAGGCAGGAGAAUGGUGUGAACCCGGGAGGCGGAGUUUGCAGUGAGCUGAGAUCUCGCCACUGCACUCCAGCCUGGGUGACAGAGCAAGACUCCGUCAAAAAAAAAAAAAAAAUUGAGACGGAGUUUUGCUCUUGUUGCUCAGGCCGCAGCGCAAUGGCGCGAUCUCGGCUCACUGCAACCUCUGCCUCCCGGGUUCAAACGAUCUUCUGCCUCAG